GACGAACGCUGGCGGCGUGCUUAACACAUGCAAGUCGAACGAGGAAGCCUAGCUUGCUAGGUGGAUUAGUGGCGAACAGGUGAGUAAUACGUGAGUAACCUACCUUUAACUCUGGGAUAAGCCUGGGAAACUGGGUCUAAUACCGGAUACGACCAAUCUCCGCAUGGGGUGUUGGUGGAAAGCGUUAUGUAGUGGUUAUAGAUGGGCUCACGGCCUAUCAGCUUGUUGGUGAGGUAACGGCUCACCAAGGCGACGACGGGUAGCCGGCCUGAGAGGGUGACCGGCCACACUGGGACUGAGACACGGCCCAGACUCCUACGGGAGGCAGCAGUGGGGAAUAUUGCACAAUGGGCGCAAGCCUGAUGCAGCGACGCCGCGUGAGGGAUGACGGCCUUCGGGUUGUAAACCUCUGUUAGCAGGGAAGAAGAGAGAUUGACGGUACCUGCAGAGAAAGCGCCGGCUAACUACGUGCCAGCAGCCGCGGUAAUACGUAGGGCGCGAGCGUUGUCCGGAAUUAUUGGGCGUAAAGAGCUUGUAGGCGGUUUGUCGCGUCUGCUGUGAAAGGCCGGAGCUUAACUCCGUGUAUUGCAGUGGGUACGGGCAGACUAGAGUGCAGUAGGGGAGACUGGAAUUCCUGGUGUAGCGGUGGAAUGCGCAGAUAUCAGGAGGAACACCGAUGGCGAAGGCAGGUCUCUGGGCUGUAACUGACGCUGAGAAGCGAAAGCAUGGGGAGCGAACAGG
rnacentral:rRNA from 1 species